AUUGAACGCUGGCGGCAGGCCUAACACAUGCAAGUCGAGCGGAUGAAGGGUGCUUGCUCCUGGAUUCAGCGGCGGACGGGUGAGUAAUGCCUAGGAAUCUGCCUGGUAGUGGGGUAUAACGUCCGGAAACGGGCGCUAAUACCGCAUACGUCCUGAGGGAGAAAGUGGGGGAUCUUCGGACCUCACGCUCUCAGAUGAGCCUAGGUCGGAUUAGCUAGUUGGUGGGGUAAAGGCCUACCAAGGCGACGAUCCGUAACUGGUCUGAGAGGAUGAUCAGUCACACUGGAACUGAGACACGGUCCAGACUCCUACGGGAGGCAGCAGUGGGGAAUAUUGGACAAUGGGCGAAAGCCUGAUCCAGCCAUGCCGCGUGUGUGAAGAAGGUCUUCGGAUUGUAAAGCCCUUUAAGUGGGGAGGAAGGGCAGUAAGUUAAUACCUUGCUGUUUUGACGUUACCAACAGAAUAAGCACCGGCUAACUUCGUG
rnacentral:rRNA from 1 species